ensembl:tRNA
GGUUUCGUGGUGUACACACUAUAGUGGUUAUCACAUCUGUCUAACACACAGAAGGUCGGUGGUUUGAGCCGGCCCGAGAUCA